AACGGAGUUUCUGAAAGGUAAUUUCUGCAAUUUUGUGGUUGCCAUAAGACAUAGCGUCGGAAGCUAAACGAGACCAAACCUCAGGUCGGUCAAUCGUACGGGCAAGCUCUAAAGCAGUUUCCAAGUUUCCGCACUCUAAUGCCAAUUCAAAUCGGGUGGAUGGAUCCUCAACGAAUUGUAAAGCGAUUUCAGGAUAACCCUUCUUCUGAAGAUAAGCUAUAAUAGCCUGACCAACGAGGUUAGAAUUUUGAAUUAAAUGAAGAACUUGUUCGUAAUCCUUUCUUAACAAGGCUAAUUUGAACAAAUAUUCAGUGGGAUCUAUUUCAAAACUAACGGGUUCAGCAGCACGAUUGAGAGCAAAAACCAUAUUUCCUUUUGCUUUGACCAAAUACAAAG